rnacentral:tRNA from 1 species
GGCCCGUUCGUCUAUCGGUUAGGACACAGGGUUUUCAACCCUGUAAGAGGAGUUCGACUCUCCUACGGGCUA